rnacentral:rRNA from 1 species
AAAAGCCGGGGGGCCUUAUGCAUGCAGUCGAACGAUUUCGAUUUAUCGGAAUAGUGGCGAAUGGGUGAGUAACACGUAAGUGACCUGCCCUCAAGUAGGGAAUAACUUUGAGAAAUCGGAGCUAAUACUUUAUGUGCUGGUGAGGAUAAUGCUUCAUCAGUAAAGCCUUCGGGUGCUUGGGGAGGGGCUUGUGUCCGAUUAGCUAGUUGGUGGGGUAAUGGCUUACCAAGGCGAUGAUCGGUAGCUGGUUUGAGAGGAUGAUCAGCCACACUGGGACUGAGACACGGCCCAGACUCCUACGGGAGGCAGCAGCAAGGAAUAUUGCGCAAUGGGCGAAAGCCUGACGCAGCGACACCGCGUGGGGGAUGAAGGCUUUCGGGUCGUAAAGCUCUGUCAAGUGGGAAAAAAGUCUGAUGAUUAAUAGUUGUCAGAUCUGAUGGUACCACUGGAGGAAGCACCGGCUAACUCCGUGCCAGCAGCCGCGGUAAUACGGAGGGUGCAAGCGUUGUUCGGAAUU